GGCGUACUUAACACAUGCAAGUCGAACGAGGAGUUUCGGUGUAGCAAUACAUCGGAGCUUCGAGUGGCGCACGGGUGAGUAACACGUGGGCAACCUGCCCUCGAGACCGGGAUACCCCCUCGAAAGGGGGGCUAAUACUGGAUACGCUCCUCGGGUCGCGAGACCUGGGGAGGAAAGGUGGCGAAAGCUGCCGCUCUUGGAGGGGCUCGCGGCCUAUCAGCUAGUUGGUGAGGUCACGGCUCACCAAGGCGAUGACGGGUAGCUGGUCUGAGAGGACGACCAGCCACACGGGGACUGAGACACGGCCGCGACUCCUACGGGAGGCAGCAGUGGGGAAGCUUCCGCAAUGGGCGAAAGCCUGACGGAGUGACGCCGCGUGGGGGACGAAGGCCUUCGGGUCGUAAACCCCUGUCAGAGGGAAAGAAGGGUCGCGCGGUGAACAGCCGCGUGAUCUGACGGUACCUUCAGAGGAAGCCCCGGCCAACUC
rnacentral:rRNA from 1 species